ACAAAUAUUUUGACUCUUCGUCUUAUUUGAAAUUUUUUUUGAUUAAUAUUUUUAUUGUUACUAAAUGAUAAAAUAUGAAUAGUACUUUAUGCGUGACAUAUUUUUUAAGUUUUUUACACAUUUUUUAAAUAAGACGAAUGGUCAAACGUUAGACACGAAAAAAC
rnacentral:pre_miRNA from 1 species